GUCCCUGUAGCUCAGUUGGUAGAGCAUGGCGCUUGCAACACCAGGGUUGUGGGUUCGAUUCCCUCGGGGGACC
rnacentral:tRNA from 1 species